CUCUCCUUCGCAUCCUGCCAGCCCAGUUUUCUCUUCUGCUCCUGGCCUUCCUCAGCCCUCCUAGGGGAAUGAGGAGAAAGCUGACGAAGCUUUUCCUUCAAAAGCUCCCUGUGUGCCUCUCUGGUGCUGUGAUGAUUUGCUGGAAUGCAACCACUCAACCUCUGUUUCCGUCACAUCCCUGACCUCCAAGUUGUAGAAAUCGGUUCCAGGCAGUGCCAGCUCCUAAAAGAUAACAAAGCUAUGCUAUUAUGGAAGCAAAGAGGAAACAGAAGACUGGGGAGAGGGAGGGGAAGAAAUACCACACAAACUUUCAUGGAAAUCCAGUGUCCUUGAGUUGCAGGUAUUGCCCCAGAGACAACUGCCAGGAUGCUUCUGGCCUCAAAUGACAUUCUGAAGA